GGUUAAGUGACUAAGCGUACACGGUGGAUGCCUAGGCAGUCAGAGGCGAUGAAGGGCGUGCUAAUCUGCGAAAAGCGUCGGUAAGGUGAUAUGAACCGUUACAACCGGCGAUACCCGAAUGGGGAAACCCAGUGUGUUUCGACACACUAUCAUGUCAUGAAUACAUAGUGGCAUGAGGCGAACCGGGGGAACUGAAACAUCUAAGUACCCCGAGGAAAAGAAAUCAACCGAGAUUCCCCCAGUAGCGGCGAGCGAACGGGGAGGAGCCCAGAACCUGAAUCGGCUUGUGUGUUAGUGGAAGCGUCUGGAAAGUCGCGCAGUAAAGGGUGAUAGCCCCGUACACUAAAAUGCACAGGUCGUGAGUUCGAUGAGUAGGGCGGGACACGUGACAUCCUGUCUGAAUAUGGGGGGACCAUCCUCCAAGGCUAAAUACUCCUGACUGACCGAUAGUGAACCAGUACCGUGAGGGAAAGGCGAAAAGAACCCCGGCGAGGGGAGUGAAAUAGAACCUGAAACCGUGUACGUACAAGCAGUGGGAGCACCUUCGUGGUGUGACUGCGUACCUUUUGUAUAAUGGGUCAGCGACUUAUAUUUUGUAGCAAGGUUAACCGUAUAGGGGAGCCGUAGGGAAACCGAGUCUUAACUGGGCGUCUAGUUGCAAGGUAUAGACCCGAAACCCGGUGAUCUAGCCAUGGGCAGGUUGAAGGUUGGGUAACACUAACUGGAGGACCGAACCGACUAAUGUUGAAAAAUUAGCGGAUGACUUGUGGCUGGGGGUGAAAGGCCAAUCAAACCGGGAGAUAGCUGGUUCUCCCCGAAAGCUAUUUAGGUAGCGCCUCGUGAACUCAUCUUCGGGGGUAGAGCACUGUUUCGGCUAGGGGGCCAUCCCGGCUUACCAAACCGAUGCAAACUCCGAAUACCGAAGAAUGUUAUCACGGGAGACACACGGCGGGUGCUAACGUCCGUCGUGAAGAGGGAAACAACCCAGACCGCCAGCUAAGGUCCCAAAGUCAUGGUUAAGUGGGAAACGAUGUGGGAAGGCACAGACAGCCAGGAUGUUGGCUUAGAAGCAGCCAUCAUUUAAAGAAAGCGUAAUAGCUCACUGGUCGAGUCGGCCUGCGCGGAAGAUGUAACGGGGCUAAACCAUGCACCGAAGCUGCGGCAGCGACGCUUAGGCGUUGUUGGGUAGGGGAGCGUUCUGUAAGCCGUUGAAGGUGGCCUGUGAGGGUUGCUGGAGGUAUCAGAAGUGCGAAUGCUGACAUAAGUAACGAUAAAGCGGGUGAAAAGCCCGCUCGCCGGAAGACCAAGGGUUCCUGUCCAACGUUAAUCGGGGCAGGGUGAGUCGACCCCUAAGGCGAGGCUGAAAAGCGUAGUCGAUGGGAAACAGGUUAAUAUUCCUGUACUUGGUGUUACUGCGAAGGGGGGACGGAGAAGGCUAGGCUAGCCGGGCGACGGUUGUCCCGGUUUAAGCGUGUAGGGGGUGUGACCUGGUAAAUCCGGUUACAUACUAACCCUGAGGCGUGAUGACGAUGCACUACGGUGCAGAAGUAGUUGAUGCCCUGCUUCCAGGAAAAUCCUCUAAGCUCCAGGUAACAUUAAAUCGUACCCCAAACCGACACAGGUGGUCAGGUAGAGAAUACCAAGGCGCUUGAGAGAACUCGGGUGAAGGAACUAGGCAAAAUGGUGCCGUAACUUCGGGAGAAGGCACGCUGGCAUGUAGGUGAAGUCCCUUGCGGAUGGAGCUGAAGCCAGUCGAAGAUACCAGCUGGCUGCAACUGUUUAAUAAAAACACAGCACUGUGCAAACACGAAAGUGGACGUAUACGGUGUGACGCCUGCCCGGUGCUGGAAGGUUAAUUGAUGGGGUCAGCCGCAAGGCGAAGCUCUUGAUCGAAGCCCCAGUAAACGGCGGCCGUAACUAUAACGGUCCUAAGGUAGCGAAAUUCCUUGUCGGGUAAGUUCCGACCUGCACGAAUGGCGUAAUGAUGGCCAGGCUGUCUCCACCCGAGACUCAGUGAAAUUGAACUCGCUGUGAAGAUGCAGUGUACCCGCGGCAAGACGGAAAGACCCCGUGAACCUUUACUAUAGCUUGACACUGAACAUUGAGCCUUGAUGUGUAGGAUAGGUGGGAGGCUUUGAAGCGUGGACGCCAGUCUGCGUGGAGCCAUCCUUGAAAUACCACCCUUUAAUGUUUGAUGUUCUAACUCGGCCCCGUGAUCCGGGGUGAGGACAGUGUCUGGUGGGUAGUUUGACUGGGGCGGUCUCCUCCCAAAGAGUAACGGAGGAGCACGAAGGUUAGCUAAUCACGGUCGGACAUCGUGAGGUUAGUGCAAAGGCAUAAGCUAGCUUGACUGCGAGAGUGACGGCUCGAGCAGGUACGAAAGUAGGUCUUAGUGAUCCGGUGGUUCUGAAUGGAAGGGCCAUCGCUCAACGGAUAAAAGGUACUCCGGGGAUAACAGGCUGAUACCGCCCAAGAGUUCAUAUCGACGGCGGUGUUUGGCACCUCGAUGUCGGCUCAUCACAUCCUGGGGCUGAAGUAGGUCCCAAGGGUAUGGCUGUUCGCCAUUUAAAGUGGUACGCGAGCUGGGUUUAGAACGUCGUGAGACAGUUCGGUCCCUAUCUGCCGUGGGCGUUGGAAGAUUGAGAGGGGUUGCUCCUAGUACGAGAGGACCGGAGUGAACGCACCACUGGUGUUCGGGUUGUCAUGCCAAUGGCAUUGCCCGGUAGCUAAGUGCGGAAAAGAUAAGCGCUGAAAGCAUCUAAGCGCGAAACUUGCCUCAAGAUGAGUCUUCCCUUGGACUUUGAGUCCACUGAAGGAACGUUUAAGACUAAGACGUUGAUAGGCUGGGUGUGUAAGUGCAGCGAUGCAUUGAGCUAACCAGUACUAAUGAUCCGUGAGGCUUAACCUU
rnacentral:rRNA from 1 species